ensembl:lncRNA
UGGCUGCCAAUGGUUCCAUCGUGGUCUCAAUCACACAACGCAACGAGAGAGUACACAACCGCUACAAAUGGUGCCGUGACCCGUUCUUCUCUGCCUGUCUGCUGCGUCAUUGAGGAUCGCCAUUCGACACGUGGCACGUAAGCACCGACGACGUGGCCGUGCAGCUGCCAUUGUGAGGGUUCUCAAAGAGCAUUUCCCAUGUUAAAUAUUCCACCAGAAUAAACGGCUGGCUGCCAAUGGUUCCAUCGUGGUCUCAAUCACACAACGCAACGAGAGAGUACACAACCGCUACAUAGACACAAGGUGUGCAGCUUCACCCAGCUCCGGAGUCCAAUCAGUCUGUCUGUGGCCAGAUGGGCUGCUUCAACCAAUCCAUCGACGACACCAUCUCCACACACCCCCCAACACCAAAUUGGGGCUGGGGAGAAUCCCCAACCGAUGUUUACUUUCCCACCAAUAACAACCACUAACCGACACUGAUAAAUAUAUAAAAUGAAAUACAUAAGCUGGACUCUGACCUGGGUUAACCUACCCAACAAGGGAUCAUUUCCUUUACCAUGCCUAGAAUAAAUUAAAAAAAGCCCCACUGUCCCCAACCAGCCCAGUUUGACC